CCAUGAUGAUAAAGGCAUUUAAAUUGUUUAAGAGAGAUUACCUUACAGUUUGAAGUAACCUUAUCCAAAGAACACAUCCAGCAAACUCAGGAUUGAGUCCAGGAAGUGCUCCUACCCAAACCUUUUUCAGCACUGGUGAUUGUUGGAAAGACUGUGGGAAGACCAACAAAGACAGUUUUGCAGUCAGAUGAGAGGCAGCAGGGAGAGCGUCAGCACACAGACAGAGAGGGUGGACAGCUCAGCCUCCUGUAGUCGCAGUGCCAAAUGCAAGAUGCAGGCAGAGAGUGGCGACAACCUGCGGAGGAACCUCCAGUGGAGAAAAGCACGGAAGGGAAAUGGAGAAAUGAAGUGAGAGACAGAGCGGCAGCAGCGAGCAGACAGCUCCUUUAUCAGCAGGUCCCAUGAGUUAUGAGUGCAGUUGAAAGCGAAAGAGAAGAUUCCUUGUCCUCCAUGAAAAGGUGCUCCACAGCGCACAGAGGGUUUGCAACAUAACUGCGGCGUCUGCGACAUCCAAGGCUGGAUUACCAACCGGGCAAAACGGGCAACUGCACUGCAU